GCUUGCAGAUAUUAUGGUUAAGGCGUCCUCCCAAUUACAAUAGCCCCGCCUCCUACUGCAAUAGCCCUUUUUGCAACAAUCCUUUUGAAUAAGUCUGUCCUUACUAAGUCUGUAUUUCUUUUUAUUUGACAACAGCAUAUGUGAGCUUGUGACCAGAGGCAAAUGGCCAGAGCCACUGAUCCAACCGUGGAUGCCAGAAUGAUGUCCCAAGGCUCAAAUGGGGCCAUCGACACCUCAGGGAUGAGAUCCAACAACUUGCUCCGUGGUACAGACCAGUGAGGACCAGAGGAUGUCACUCAGGCAGGGUUAUGGCCCUUCAAUGCUUGUGAGUCUCACCUCUUCUGACUUUUGCUACUGGACUUGAUGGCGGCUCAGAAGAAUGCUGUGGAAGAAUUCUCAUAGGAAACCUGAAAAGCCUCCUGAGCUCUGAAGAGAUGCAUGGAGAAUUCCAUUUUACCGAGUCAAGAGGAUCAAUUAAAAUGCCACGUCUGCUAGGUUUAAGGUGAAAUAGAGCCCCUGGAGAUUCAGAAGGACCACUUCGAGAGUUUCUGCCUCAGGGAAACCUCCCAGAAUUGUAAACUGGUUGUUCAGGUGAUGAAAUUUGUCCAGAGUCUGUGCCACCCAGAUGCAAGAAAAUAAAUCCACAACUUUGGCCAAAUUGAUAAUGAGUAAUGAUUAACAAAAUGUUCUUUUUCCUGGCUGGACUCCCGGGAGAGAGACUUUGUUUCUCCCAGGUGGCUUAAAGAGGAGCUUGCCUUUGUGUGUUCUCCACAUUCCAGGAAAGAUGAAGGUAGAGCUAACGUCUCUCCUGCAGGCGAAGUUCCCUGUCCUAGGUGGUCUUUAUGGAUCAGGCUGCCUCCUAAUUACAUACUGAUCAUUUAAAAAGUGAAACUCCAGGGAGCGACGGGCCAGUGAGCAAUUCCUCUGACUCCUCAGAGCCAUCAGACUCACGUGGUAAGUCGUUACCUCCAUGAUAUCAUAUUUCAAGAGCUUCGGAACAUAACCUGGUGCUCCCUGCCUGAAGUCCCACAUGACAUUAGCCCCGACUGAAAUUGAGUCUACUGGAAGAAGUCACCUCUAAGCCUUAUCUGCUACCUAAAUUUUAGUAUGAAAGAUUUUUUACUUAAAAGGAAUACGUGGGGGAAAGCUGGGAAUAUCAAAUGUUAUUAGCAUUUCUUUCACGUUUGGCCCCACGCAAUUCGAAUGGACUUGUUUGUAGUUUAAUAAAUCAAUGUCUAUAAAGAAGCAAUGAGAUGAAAAGUGGCAAACAAGGUCCCAGUAACCACUAUUUUAAGGAAAUGCAGACCAUAAUGAUCAGCAGAGGGAGGGAGGAUAGGGGGCUAUUGACAAGGCCGACUGAGAAAUGACAAAUAAUCCUUUACAUAGAGAGGUUUGCUUAGAAAUGAAUGGUCUGUCUGGGAUUCUUGUAAAGUUACAGGAAUUAUACCAAAUAUGACCCAAGUUUCACUGGAAAUGGUUUAUGGAUCAGAGAAGUAUGUUUGGAGAGACAGUUGAAGAAAAUUCAGUGAAAGCUAUGAAAUGUAAACGAAGUCUAAGAGUCUGGAGCCUUCCAUGAAUGCCUGUGAGGAGUCUUUCCCAAGCAGAAUUCUUUUGGGAAUGUAAUUCUGGAUUCCCGUUUUCGUCACUUGACGCUUAAUAUGUGCCUUUCUCUUCUGGGUGAGUUGGGCAUAUGCAUACUUAACAUCUCCCCUCGUUCUCCAUAUUGCUUAGCAGAAUGCAAGAGUUUCACAGACAGAGGUUGGAAGGAAGGAAGGAAGAAUGAAAGAGAAGGAUAAGGAAAAGACAUAGGGGAAAACAUGGAAGGAGGGAAGAGAAAGAAAGAAAAAGAAGCAAGUCCUACUAGAGCCUAGAAAAUAGAAUGCAGACAGAAAUAGAGGCUUUGUUUAUUCUGCUUCACAGUCAGGCUGUAGCCAGGACUGAUAUCUGCCUUCCUGUCCUGGGAGCGGGGUGAUCUUGCUUAUCUGAGCUUGGGAUACAACCAGUAAUGGGAUUCUAGAAUGAGCAGUGCCCACACGGCUCCCUAGGAAGACCAGUCAAAUUGAGUGAAUCUUAGAGAGGUAAAGAAAGAGAAAAUGAGGAGAGAAAGAGGAGGCCCAGGAGGUGUUAUGUGGGGAAGAACGAGGCAAGUGCGUUUAUUUCCAAUACACAGUAAAUGUUUUGCAGGUUGUGCAAGCUAAUAGUCGACACAUGAGGUUGGUCUUGGAUAGAGCAGGUAGUCAAUAAACAGUCCCUGGAAACUGGGGGUGGGCAGAGAAGUAGGUGCUAAAAGAUUUAAGGGAUUAAAUUAUUUUCAAGCAUAUUAGAAGUAUUUAGGUUUCAAAUUGAUGUGCCGAUUAUAAAUAAUUUUAUUUUUUUGGUGAAGCAGGUCCCCAAGGGUCUUGCUAGUCACAUGUGUUUUUGUCCCACUGUGGUCAUUUUAUGGACCACUUCCAAAUUCAAGAUGCUAAAGUAUUUUCUUCUUGUGAAUUGGAGGCCAAGCCAGAGGCUUGUCUCCCUGUGGGCUUCAUGCUUCUGCGAGGGGCCACCUUUUCCUCUUCCUGCUUCCCCACACCCCAUUUCUGCGACCAUUCUCAUUCAGCAAGGACGGGGACCACCAUAUGAAAUGUGGACAACUGUGAGUGUCUGCUGAUGUUCACUGAAGACCUAGACUUCUGCUACUGCCUUCACCCCAAAUCUCCCCCUAGAAUUCCCUCUCUGCUUUCUGGGGUCCCAAUUUCACUGCAGGGAGUUCUGCAGACAACAGCGGCUGGAACGGAAGAGAAUGAAGGAGUCCCAGCAGCUACUCUGUGACGUCCUGAGAUGGAACUUGGGGUGUUUUAAUUUCAAAAGCAGAGUUGAAAGUGGUGAUGAGAUUUCACGGUACCAUUAGUGUGGUACUAGACUUGAGGCACAAAAUGAGUUAAGGAGGCAUCUGGAAGCUGGCUCAGAAUUCAACCACAAUGUUUCUAUGACAAAUUGGCUACUAAUUUGCCAAUAACCAACUUAGAAAUGACUAUUAGAAUCAAGACAUAUCCACUGAGAACUAACAGAACUAAUACGGUCUAACUAUUUCAGAUUUUGCACAAAACUCAGAUGGAUCUAACUUGUCUGAAUUAGGGUCUUCAGGUAAAGUAGAUUGAAUACAUCCUAUUUCAGUGGGCUUGCCCUCAUUACAGGCUGAUUUGCCCACAGGGAAAUAGGCAAUAAAGUCUGAUACUCUGAUGGUACUAACACUUUCUGGAUGUUUGUAGAAGGAGCAACCUUGGUCCAAGUGAACAAGAAAAGAGGAAGUUCCCAAACCACUUGCAAAGGGUUGAGGCCGAAGAACAGAUGUCUCUGGGCUGCCCAGACGUCGGCCGCAUGGCCCAGCAGUGCUGCCGCUGCCGAAACCCCAAGUCUGCAAGUCAGGGUGGUCUGGAAGUGAAGGAUUGUUUUCCUGAGAGUGGUUUCAAGAAUGCAACUCCUCACCUAAUAAAAAGAAUGUGCAAUGAUUAACUGAGUCUAAUAUUAGCAUCUGCAAAAUAAAGAGCAAUUGGGCCUGCUAUUAAAGAACAAACCUUGCAUGCACCCGCUGCCAGGUAAAAUCUGUUCUUUCUCAGUCAUAAAUCUUUCUUGGACGCCAGAGAAGAAUUUCACUUCCGUCAGAAACACUGGGUGAACCGAAGAAAAAGAACAUGCUGUUUUGGAGAUGAAAGCGACUUGAGUUUAAAGGUCUUGGUGCCUUUUCUGUCUGUUUUGCUUGCUUUCUCUGUGGUGUCCUUGACUUGGCCAUGCCUUGCAUUGUUUGUUGGAUGAUGAGGCAGCAGUGGGAAAAGGUCAGGAUGGGUCAUUUGCUUCAGGCUGUAGCUUCAGGCAGAGAACUAGCAUCUGACAUCGAAUCUCACUGUUCUCCAGGGUGGACCCUUGGUGAAACAUCUUUGAACACCGAACCCUUGAUAAUUGUGAAGAAUACAUUAAGAGACUUUAGGAUUUUCCUAAACUUGAGAACUCCAUCCACUAAUUGAGAUGCAGAAGUUGAAUUGAUUUGUUCAUCAAAUAAGGUUACCACUCUUGCUGAACCAGAGACUCAAAUUGGUAGUUGCCACUUUACUUGUAUUACCUAAUCUGACUUCAUGAAACGCUUUGAUGUAAGGCAGUGGUUUUCAAAGUAUGGGCCUCACAAUACCAGCAUCACCCGAGAACUUGCUAGAAAUGUACAUCCUUGGGUCCCAUUCCAGACUUACUGGGCCAGCAAUCUCCCUCUUCAGUAAGUCCUCCAAGUGUUUCUGAUGGACGCUAAAGUUUGGGAACCACUAAUGUAGGAAACAUUAUCACCAUAAAACAUAUUAUAUGCUGUGAUGUCUUGGAACUUUGAAGUCUCUCUUAUAGCUAAAACUUUAAAUUCUAGCUUUCCAAGGAUCUUCAGUACCAUGCGUGCAGUAGGCAGUCAAUAAAUGUUCCCUAUAGAUGCUGUGUCUCUGAGAUAGUAAUCAUCUUUUAUUUUCCUCUUUUCCUCCCUUCCCUCCUUGCUCCCUCCCUUCCUACUUUCUUCCCUUUCUGCCUUCUUUCCUUCUCCUUCUUUUCUUUUUUGUCUGCCCUGUAUCACUUUGGGGAGCAUCUCUUCCCCUUUACAUAUAUUUUAGAUGGUGCUGAUAAUCAAGUGGGUCUGAUCUCACCUACCACUCAGUGUCCACUUCACCCAGGCUGGCCAAUCAAAGUGCUCCACUCUCUGGACACAGUAAUUGGUCCAGAGGUCCUAGCAGGGCCACUGAGAGCCUUUGGGUUGGGGAGAUCAAUAUGAACUUUAUGAAGGAAAGACUGUCUAUUCCCGACUUUGUGAGCACCAAGAAACCAGGUGAACUUGGAACUUCUUGGGGGCUCAUCUUCCUCCACAUGCAGAUGGUCUGCCUGGGAAUGAAGCCAUCUCAGAGGAAGGCAAAGCCAAGUUCUGGACGGAGAGAGGGCAGGGAGUUGAUGUCACCUUUUGAACCCAGAGCUUCACCAUGCCUUGAAGUCAGAAUCCGCUCUCUCCUUGGACGUCAUAUUCAAUUCAACGUUCCCUGGGAAUACCUUAAUCUGGGAUCCUGGGGACAUUCCUAUUAAUGAUUUUGUACUUAUUGAAAAAGUAGGAGAUACACAUACAAAUUGGUACCUAGUAGACUGUGUCAUUUAGAAAGUUAAAGUCCCUUGUGAUGAUAACCACUACUUCCCUGAAAAUCACUGUAUGUAGUUUUGUGCAUAUUCCUUUAGAUUUUUCUGUCAGUAUACUAAUAAAUUGCGAUGUUAACUGAGAAUUUUCUUGAUGCCGCAGUUUUUCUAGAAGCCAAUAAAAUCAAGGAUAAAGCAAUAGGUUCUAACACCUACAUUCUAGAGUGAGCUUGUUGGACUGUUCAUGCAGGAUUUGUAAAGCGAGUGAUCCAGGCCUGCCAUUAUUAGCUCAUAUAAGAGGUUAUAUUAAAAAAAGCCUAUGAAUUCAUGAGGGCAUUGACAAGGCCAAUAGGAGCACAUCUGUAGAGAACAUUCUCAGCAUGGCGAGGGCCACCCCCAUCCUGACAUAGGGGCAGAGAAAACUUCCCUUUCACCCUAAGCCAAGUAGGGGAGGUGACUUCAAGAAAAUCACUCAGGGGAUGUCUUAUGCAUCCACUGGAAUUUGGGUAUGUGGUACCUGGUACCUCAUUCAUCCUUUAUUGCUACCCACAGGGCAGCAGAGGGAAGAGAUGAGACUGAACUCAUAAUUUGAUUUAAUCUGACUUGAUUUCCUCUCUGACUGUCUGCCAACUGUUUCCAAUUUGGAACGGUUACAAAAUGUGAAAUUAUUCUGGCAGAAUGCAUCUAUCUGGUUUGGUUGACCCUUGGAAAACCUUCCUCCAUCAUAUCCAAUCAUGGAUUUCUCCUCCAAACCCAUGACCUUUCUUUUACACUCUCCUGAGUCAUUCUUCCCAACCUGGGUCCCCGCCACUCAACAGACUCAGGCACCACACAGUGAGGUGGUUAUUAUUGUGUGAAGUUAUUUCGUAGGGCCAGUUACACUGGUCAUACACACAAUGACUUUAGAUAUGUGUGCACAGACAGUGGCAUUCUUUACAAUAAUUUCCAGGUCUAUGUCCCAAUUAACACCAGAAAUUUCUGGAACUAUAAUUCUUUUUCUGGACUCUCUAUAUACCUUUCCAUCCCCAGUUUCUUCUCCAUGUACCCAAAUAAACUCCACUGCAUAAAGUUCUUGAAUUCUGCUUAUGGGAUCUCCCCUCACUGAAUCCCCUCUUUUCUGUGCAUCUAGCUAUUAGGUUCUACUCCCUUAUAGACGCUGUAAGAAUAUUGUUUAUAAUAACCAUUUAUUAAUUUUAAAUAAGUGCACUUUUGCCACAUUAUCCCAUCUCUUACUCAUAAAAUCCUUCUGAGGUAACUCUGUCUCCAUUUUGAAGAUGGAAAAAGAGAGGCUCGGAGGGAUUGAAUGAUUUGCCCAGUGUCACACAGCAAGUAAGUAGUGGAGGUAGGACAAGGACUCAGAUUUUCCUUCCUUGUAAGAUCUAUCUUCUUUUCCUUACGACCCCAUCUCCUCACUGCCUACUCUCUGAAGCCACAGGAUUACAUUCAGGUCCACCAGUUUCAGCUAUUUCUCUCUGCUCUAUAUCUCUAUCCUUUCUCUUCAAACUCUCUAGAAAUACUUCAAACUCUUUCAGAAGUUUCUAUUAGUAGAGUUAUAUUUCAAGCACUCUGAUCCUGGUCAGACUUCGGGCUGCCAGUCUACAAAAGAAUUUUCGGGAGCAAAUUGCUUCUGCUGAUCAGUCCAACUUGAAUAUUUGAGACUUUUGUUCUAUUAACUUUUCUUCAGAGGUGUUUUCUUUUUUAAAAGAAAAAUAUUUCCCUCCGAACAGAAAAGAGUUGAAAUUCCCAUUUGUGGGAUGGGGGAGGUUUCUAAAAAAAAUCAAGACGUUUCUAAAAACAACAACUUGAGCAAAUAUCUGAAAAAUGCUAGUAAAUUAAAAUAUUCACUCAAAAAUCAUUGUUUCAUCAUCAUUCUGUAUGUAUAUAACAUAUUUACUUUUUCUCUUCCCAUAUCACUCUUGGCUACCAGCAGUUUUUAUGAAAUCUUUGUUCUAUAUAAUUGUUUUUUUGUCAACUUUUCAAUUAACAAAGAGAAAAAAAGGAUGAUCUUUAAUAAUAUUACUUGCUUUUGACUUUUGAUAUAACAUUCUAAAAUUGUUGACACUGAAUAAUAAUGGAAAUAAAGAGUAAAAAGGGCUUAUUACUUGUGUGUAACUGCCUGAACGGACGCUAAGUGAUUUAUACAAUUGAUUUCAAAAUUUAAAUCUUUUUUAAAAAUACACUUUCAAGUAUGUUGGUUUUCAUCUUAUCUGUCUAAAUAUUAGGCUUCCGGGUUUAUACGUCCACUGAAAGUGGCUCGGAUUAACAGCAUUUAUUCUUGGUUCUCGGGAAAAAAUGACAUAACCUAAUUUCGUAUGUCUAAAAACACGAGUUGCAAAACAGCAUUUACGGUAAAUGUUUACAAACACAGCCUCACUUGACCUUCAAAACAACCCAGUGAAAUAUUAUCAUUAUUUACAAGGUGAGAAGUCUGAAGGUCAGAAGGCCCUCAUUCUGUAAACAUUGAUUAAGGUUUACAGGGCCGAGGAGAAGAAAUCUUCAGGGCGGCCAUUUGGCCCAAUCUGCAGGCUUAAAAGGGAUGUUCACUACAGCUGUUUUUAAGUGGAGAUUUUGUCUGUGGAAACAGGGUCUGUUCCUGUCUCUGAUACCAACUUCAACCUAGAAUCACUCUUCUGUUUUUUCUCAAAAAGCUACAUGGCUGUCAUUUCAGAAACUGUGAUGGUCACUCAGAGGUACUAGGAGAUGGCAAGCUGGUAGGGUUGCCAGAUAGAAUAUAGGACUCCCAGCUAAAUUUUAAUUUCAGAUAAACAAUGGGUCAUUUUUAAGUAUAAGUUUGUCCCAAUAUCUCAGACAUACUUAUAUUAAAAAUGAUCCAUUGUUUAUCUGAAGUUCAAUUUUAACUGGACGUCCUGUAAUUUUAAUUUGCUAAAUCUGGCAAUCCUAUAAGCUGGCUUUGUAGGCAAGAAGCAGUUGGUGGCCUGGUUCAAGCUUUAAGGAGAGUGAUUCUACUAAUAACACCAUGCGAGGCAGACAAAUGCAGAAGCCAAAGCUGGACUUUGCUGCUUGGGUUCAUUUUGUGGUUCCACUGCUUACCAGCUUACUUCACCUCCCUGAGGCUCAGUUCCCUCCUCCGCAAAACAGCAGAUAACAGUAUCUAUUUCCUUAGGAUUAUUGUGAGAAGUAAAUAAAAUAAUCCAGCAUAUCUUUCCCAUGAUAAAUGCUCGAUAAACUUUGUUUUUACGUUAUUUCCACAUAGUGCGUCCUCUUCCCAGAGAACACAGUCACAAUAAUCCUUUGAAUUAUCCAUAAUAUAUCUAUAUCUAUGUCUGUAUCUGUGUCUACAUCUGUAUCUACAUCUGUAGCUAUAUAUGGAGUUUCUUACCGGCCAGGACACUUGUAACUAGUAACUGCAUUGUCUGAUGAAUCUCCCUUAAAAACAUUUUUCUCCAUUUAUAGAAUGUUUUGUAUUAAGUUGUCAAUAUUCAUUAUUAUUGGUUUCAACUCUGGUUUAAGAAAAAGGGAAGUAUUCAGUUUUAAAAUAUUUGAAUAUAAAUCUGUUUAACUUAAUUUUCCUGUUAGUUUCAUCCUAAUGUUAUAAACUUUUAAUGUAUAAUGUAGUGUAAACUUUUAAUAUAUACAUAGUCUUAUUUGUCGAGUUAAAGACAAACUAUUCUUCCUUUAUAUCCUAAAUUUCCUGAAUUUAGAUAUUGUUUAGGAAAUAAUUUAGGUAAAAAUGCAGUUAGUGUGUGCUUUGAAUAGUGCAGGUAUUACGGCUUCACAAAAUGUCGUUCUCUUGUGUGCGUGUAUCUGUAUACAUAUGCACACACACACAUAUAAAACAAAUGUUUCUGGAUUUGUCUCUUUAUCUUUUAAUUCGUGGUUACCAUAUGCGUCUACCUGAAACUCCUAAAUCUAGGAAUAGCCACAUGCGAGGGUGAGAGGAUGGGAUGAGGGAUCUCAAUAUGUCUAAGCUGUUUGAAUUUUCCUAUGCUUUCACAAAGUCUGGUGAAUACCAUGUACCUGUCACUAAACACUGUGGGAUCACGCAAAGCCGCAUAAAACCUAAGGGGCUUAUAAUUUGUUUGAGGGUGGAAGAAUGCAGAAUAAAACAGACAUAAAAUUAGCCACAGUAAAAGCAGCGAGUGAUAAACAACUUAUGAUAGAUACUGAUAAUGUACGCUAUGGGACCAGAUAGAUGUGUUUGUCCAUUUACAAGGACAAGUGAUAGAUCCAACUGCCACAUUUGACAAUGAUGACUUCAAGGUGAGAUACUUCCCCACUGAAGUGUGAUUUUCCCUUUCCUUUUCUUUUUCUCUUCUCCUCUCCUCUCCUUUUCUGUUGGACACAGACCUGUCCAUCAAGGUCAACAUUCAUGGUGACAUUUUAAAAUAGUGUCUACUGCAUAACAUCACUAAAUAGCUUGCUUUAAUUUUUAAAAAUUUGAUGGCUUUUAAAAAUGGCCCAAUAUUUCAGACAUACAAAGUACAUAUAAUAAUAUUUUAACACAAAUGAAAAUGAAAUUAGGCUAACUUUUUUUUCAUAUUAAGUGAACAAAACUGUUUACCGGCACACAGUACCCCCCAGUGCCUAAGUGGCUAUACUCAACCUGUCCUGCCAGGAUUUGCUGGUGGCACUGGAAGUCACCACACUCUUCAGCAAAGUAAUCUGUCAACAUGCAGCAGGAGCCCCAACAAUGUUUAUACCUUUGUCUCAGAAAUCCUGGCAUCUGACCAACUAGCUUAAGAAAACAAUACAGGGAGGAGCUGGUUACACACACGUAAAUGCAUGUGUGUGUGUAUCUUCUGUUUGUCUAAAUCUGUAUGUCUGGGGAAACUCUUGUAAUUUUUAUGUUCAUAUCCAUAUUUCCUGUAUUAGGAGAAAAUAGGGCUGCUUCCUGAGUGGGUGCUCCGUGCAGUUGCACAAAGUUCUACGCUCAGAAAGCGGUUCAUGCUUGGGGUUUGAUGCUCUGUGGUCGUCAUCUUGAAAUUCUUAAUCAUUUUAUCUUUGAAUUUGUGUUUUGUAAGUGAAGGGUCAAUGGAGCAUACACAGGGUCUUGGAGCCUUGAUUUACCUGUGUUCCUGUCUCCUACCACCUCUUUUGGAUGGGUUGUCUGCCUCCCAUUCCCUGAGACUGCCCAGUUAUGGCUGCUGCCUUCUGUUCCUGGUGGGGGCCUGGGCCUGGGUGGAGAGAUGGUUGGGGUCAAGCAUGUGCAUCCUACAUUGUGGUUUGGGGGCCUGGAUAUCUGUGAGGGUCUCCAUUCGCUUGAAGAUUCCUGUUGCACUCAAGUGAGUGCGACAUUAAAUAGCAAAUAAAAAAAAACACCUUGAUAGGCUGAAAGAGAGACCACAAAAGAGAGGAAAAACUUUUCCCUGCUUUUGCAGACAAAGGGCCCACAUCUGUAUUUUGCAUAGGGCCCUGUAAAUUAUGUAGCUGUCUCUGGAAGAAAAAUGCCAGGAGGUGAAAUUCAGAGGGCUUGGGGUUCCAGGACAGCUUUACCAAGAAGUUACUCUAGCUAAAGUGGGACAAAAGCAAACUCAUCCUCUUAGCUUCAGACCCAGGCUGCAGGAAUCCAGCCAGGGAGGGGGAGACUGCUCACAAAGCCCAUGGCAUUCCUGUGGGCAGAGCUUAUGGCUUUUCCCACACUGGUAAGAAAGCGUCUUCAACUCUUGGCCCUGAGAAUUAUUGCCCUUGGGAGGAGUGUGUGUGUGUGUGUGUGUGUGUGUGUGUGUGUAGGAGGGAGGUGUGGAAGUCAGCACUGCCUGGGUCACUUUCUGCAAUAUUUCUUGUGGCUUUCUUCUUUGUUUCUUUUUCCCUCCAUCUAAAGAAACGAUCUCUUUAUUUUAGACGAGAUUUGUCCUAGAGCUUUAGUUCUUAUGUGUGAAGAUUCUUUUUCAAAGAAAAAAAAAGAACGAAGGUAGAUUCAGCAUGCCAGGCAGACCCGUCAAUCUCGUCUGUAAUUGGGUCUGCUAUUGGUGAGUAGCCACUUGGGAGGAAAUUGCUCAUCCAUGUGGAGUGAAUGAACUGUUUCAGGGCGCGGGGCCUCCACAGAGGGCUGCAUGCUGGCCUCCUGCCAGACAGUCUCCUUGCGGUGCCUGGCUCGGCUGCAGACUCAGGUUCAGACCAGGGAGCAGUUUGUUCCUCUGGUCCUGCAGAUAAGCAUCUGUUUGCUUGCUUUCUUCCUGGUUCAGUGGGGCUGAGUUCCCUUUAGAGAGGCAUUGACAUUUAGAUGUAUGACGGCUUUUGGUGAUGGGAAUAGGGACCUGGACUCGCCAUGAGCCUUGAGGCCCUUUGUUUGACGGAGGGAAGAGCAAGCAAUAGUAGUUUCAUGACGUCAAGGUGAAAGCUGAUGAGGCCACUCCUGCUUCCAGUCGAUUAAUCUCUGGACCAUUGGAAGCCAACUGUUUAUAAAGAAAUGCCAGCUCCAUUGGCAGUUUCUCCAUAAUUGUUCUACAGAGUUGGCAUUACUUUUUCUUUCCUCUAACAUAUUCCAAAGAAUGCCUUGUUGCAAGAGCUCACGUAAAAUAGUUACCCCUCCAAGUCAAUAACGUGAGAUCACCUCUUUUAUCCACCAGAGGCGUUGGAGAUAAAUAAAUUGAUAAGGAAGUGGAACUCCUGUGUUUACACUUUCAGAUGAUUUAACUGAAAGAACAUUUAGCUGCCACUCCGUCCUGUUUUGAAAGAACCCUCUGCUUAGGAGGCCAAUGACUGAAUUCACAUCUUCAAUAUUCUGCAUAAAACCCUUCAAGAGGAAGGCCUCUCUUCCUCCUGAAUGGAUUCCAGAGCACAAAAGCCCAUGUACUUCGUAGCUGUUAUUUGGAAUGGCAUGGUACUUUGGAGAAGAGAGUCAAAAAUCUCCCAAUGGCCUUUAUGAUAUAGGGACUAUAAUAGAACUAUAAUAGAAUGCAGAAUUAAUAGGUUAGUAUAAGACAUACUAAGACUUUCCAGGCCCAUCCUUUAGAAAGAAUAGAGAAUAAUGCUGUCUUCUGGAAGGGACUGAGCUAAAGGAGAGAAAUAUAUAUUUGGGUCACAGUGAAGAGUCUAAGAAGGCAAAAUCACUGAGAUGAGCCCGUAAUUUAGUUGAGGAUAAGAGUGUUGAAAAAUACUCCAAAAGCACUUUUUUCUAAAUCUCUUAGCAAUAAUUAUCUUGGAUUGUGGUUUCGUGUUGACUUGUGGAUCUCCCUCACUUGCCUAAAUCCUCUAAGCUUAGUAUCUGGAGCACAUAUCAUCCUUUAAGGCUUAGUGAAUGAAAGAAUGAACUUUGACAAGACUCUUUUCUCUGUGCUAUGAGUAUAGAGUAGGAGGAGUGGUCAGGGUGUGGUGAUACCCAGAGCAAAGCCCUUGAUGUGAUUUUAAGGUCUUUGCCUCAAAGAAGCCAAGAUGAAAACAUUCAAGGGGAAAGACGCUCCCUGAAGGGAAGAAUGUAUUGGCAACACCCAAAGUGUCUUAAGCAAUAUGAAACAACUUACAGCUCUUGAUAGAUGAGCUAGGAAUUUGGAGCAUAUAUGCCCCUGGGAAAUCAGCCAAACACUGCGUGGACAUAUAUUUUAAAUCUAUAGCAACAACUUGAACAAAUUGAGGUUGUUCUCAACUCUGACCCUCUCAGGGCUCCUCCCUGGCCAAAGCUGCUUUCUUUUUCCCUUGGUGUUCUCAUUUUACUCCUUGGAAGAGAGCAAAAUGUUCUGCGUGGAAUUUUAUCUUGAAAUGUCUGUGGCCAGUGAGGAAAGCCCAAGGGACUAUCUCAGAGACAUGGAAGAUCCAGGUGUGCAGCCUUUUAUUCUUCACAGCAUCAAGUAUUUAACACUUUAAUAGUUUAAAUCAAGCUCAUUGAACUUGCAGCUUUGGUCUAAUUUGGGAAAAAAUAAUAUUUUGAAAAAUUCUAUACAGUCCAACUAAAAUCAAGCUUGUUAACCAGAAUUAAAAGCCACAGUCAACUGUCCUGAGCAUUUCUAAACUGUUGCCUAAAUAGACUUGAGAGAAGACAGGGUUGUCUGGAGUAAAGCUCUUCCACAGGACAAUUCCUUCUGACAUGACAGGAAUGUUUAUCAAGGAGAUUCAUGUCAGGCACAAACAUGUUCAGCUGUCUCCUUCAUUGCUGUGACUGAACUUGUCACAGCACAGGACUGUGCUUGCACACCUGGUUUACCCAGAGAUCUGGGUCUGUUGUGUUUGAUGGUUGUUACUGUAGGAUCCUAACAUCCUUUUGAUUCCUCAGAAGUAGAUUAAAGUGUCUUUCUCCAGUUUUUGCAUCUUAUAGAGAAGAGUAUAAUUUGAUGGGCUUGGCUAGUGUGAUGGAGGAGCAAAAGCAUGAGAAUCAGGAGUCCUUUCCUUCUGGGCAUCUAUGUGGGGCUGAUGUAUACUCACUAUAUUGAACAGAACGGCAUGGUGGUUUCUCCCAAGUUAUUAGUUCCUUUUGAGUUUCCACUAGCCUCAUCCUGCAGACACCCCCAGGGUUGAAACCAGAUCUGCCUCUGGAGACGGGAUAUUUAGUGAACAGCCCUCCAUUUGGCAGAUACCUUCUUGAUGAAGACAUCCUUCAAAGUAGAGAAGAGGGAGCUAAGUAAAAGGGAAAAAGCUGCAAGUACUCAUGGCACAAACAUGGUCCAGGCUGAGGAGAACUUGAAAUUCACUCUAACCAGGGCCUUCUCGGCCACUGUGAACCCUCUGAAGGAAGGCAAUGUCCUGGGGACAGCUUUCUCUCCCUCCACAGUGACUCCCCCUGGUCUAUAGUCUAAAGCCCCAGUCCUUUGACACAGCAUUCAAAGCCUCCCAGAUAUUGUCUUGCUUAUUUUUCCAGCUUAAUUUCUUGCCUUUCCAGCCUCAAACUUUAUGCGCUGGCAACCCUUCUUCUCCUAGAUGCAUUACGCCACAUUUAGGCUCUGAUUUGGUCCAUAACGCCCGCAGUGUCCUUGCACGCUGCACUUCCUUCAUCUGGCUAAUGUCUUAUUUAGACUCUAGGAUUCAAGUUAAGAACCAUAUUGUCUAGGAAGUUUCUUUAUGAUUUCCAAGACUGGAUUAGGUUCUCUUUCUGGGCACCCAUAAUACUCUAUGCAUAUCUCAAUGACUGACCCAAUGACAUUUUUAUAUAUAAUUAUCUGUCUGUUCUCCUUUCCCUACGGUGAGUGACACUGAUCCCCUUCAGGAAUGAAGAAUGUCCCUCAGAUGCUGGAAGUGCUGCUGAAGACAUUCCUCAGUCAUCAGUUCUUGAUGGGGAUUGCCUUUGUUGAAGAGAACAGUCUGAGCCAAUCAUGUCCCCAUUCUGGGGUGGUCAGCAUCCAAUGACUAAUGAACAUGGAGGUGGAAAGGCUCAGCUAUUACAUCCAGGUGGAUUCAAGUUGGAAGCUCACCUGAGCUUCAGAACUCUCUGCAGGGUUGUCUGCGGCUUCCUUAGAGACUGCAUCACAGCCGACUUCUCCCUGUGCCUAAUCUUGCUUCCUUCCUGCCUUUCCACCGAUGCUGAUUCCAAGAGCUCUCUCGUAAGUCUCCUGCAUGCUGAUCUCCAUCUCAGAAUCGGCUUCCAGGGAUCCCAAUGUGAGCCACCUACUUUCGUCUGAUCUGAGCAACUUGAGGACAGGGACUGUGCCUUAUUCAUCUUUGUAUUUCUAGCACCCACAAAGUGCCUGGCGCAAAGUGUGCUCUAAAUCAAUGUUGGUGGGCAGGCUGAAUAAAUGAGAUGCAAAGUGUGAGAGGGAUUUGGCAUUGUUAAAAGAUGAAGGGGGCAAUCAGGUUUCCUCUAGAAGGCAGAUAGCUUCAUCGUUUGAUCGUCUCACCGUUAAUAGACUCAACUAUUAAACAGGCGAAGAGGUCUGGAUUUGGAGUUAAUAGAUCCAGGUACAAGUGUUAUUUUUCCCCUUACUUAUGUGUGUGUAUUGCUGGGUUCUAGCAGGAAGGAGAAAACACACUCAAACCUGGUGAUUCCAGGAGAAUUUAGUUGAAGGACUAUUUACAAGGCAAAGGCUGAGUUCAAGGAAACCAACAAAUAGUGCAGUAUCUGGGGCUAUUGACACAUUACCAUCUGAAGGCCUGAAGGGGCAAGGGAAGGGGGCCAAGUGUGGAAUGCAGAGGGGCUACCAAAAGGGAAUUGCGCCUUGCCUAGGGGGAUAGAGUCUGUUCACUGAGACCUAGUAGGAAGGGAGCAAGGGAAAUAAGGGCCCAGGGCUUAUUCUGCAACGCCCUCCCCUCUCCUACCAGUGUGUCCCAUUGGCCAUGCCCCAUGAGAAGCCAGAAGCCCAGGGGGUCCUUGCUGCAGGCCAGUGGCUUCCCAGGCACAGAGGGCAGAGAAGGGGGGGAGGGUGGAGAAGAGAGGAGAAUGGAUCUGGAGUGGUCAACAGAAGAUGCCCAGCACAGGGACCAUGGAGGGACUCAAGAGUUUAAGUGAUUUGCUUCUUACCUGGGGACGGGAGCUCCACCCUGCCCACUGGAUGGGUAAGAUACAUGAAACAUGCUUUGUAAACUGCAAAUUGCAAUACAUGUAUUACAUAUGGUUUAACUGAAAAUAUUCAUGCAUUGUUUCCAAGGGUAGGUCUUCUUACAAUACAACUUCUUUCCAAAUCUAGGAAGAGCUGCAGCAGACAGUGUUACUGAUUCAGUAGCAGGAAAUCACUCCCAUGCCUGCUGGCUAUAGUGCAUUUUGAUUAAUGGGACCUGGGGGUUGGAAAGGCCAGCUUUCUGAGUCAUGACCUGUGCCCUGAAAUUUUAGUUCUUAAAAAAAAAAGGAAGAGAAAAUAAAUGACUGUAUGUGUUGAAAGCCUGAAAGUUUCAGCCAUGCUUUUAAGUGCUUUUCAUGGAUUAAUUUAUCUUUAAAAAAUAUCACAAGGCAUUUCUAAUUUUUAUUCUUGUUUUAAAAAUGAGAGAACUGAAAUGAUGAGAGAUGAAGUAAUUUGCCCAUGGUGACAUAUUUAGUAAAUGAUCUUGUAACUCACUGCCUUAGCCAAUAAAUAUACUGCCUCUCAAUACAGAAUGUUCUUUUGCCUGUAUUUGAAAUGAAAUCAAACGGUGCCAUAUUGAACUUGUACUUUUAAAAUUUGUUUUAAAUAUUUAUCUAUUUUAUCCAAGUAGAUUUAUUCACUGUUGGGUGGUAUAAAAUAACUGGAUGAAUUUCCAAGAAUUUAUUUGUCUAUUCUCUUAUUGAUACAUUAAGUUGAAUCCAAUUUUGCUAUUACAAAUGAUGCUCCAAUUGAUAUUCCUGUAUAUGUCCCUCUGUGAAAAUUUGCUAGAAGAGAAUUUAUGACUAAGAGUGGAGUUCUUAGGCCAUAAAAUUUGUGUGUUCUCAAUUUUAUUAGAUACUGCAAGAUAAUUCUCCAAAGAUUCUGUAGAACUUGGCGCUCUGACCAGCAGUAUAUGAAAAUUACUGUUGCGUCUUAUACUAACCAACUCAAUAUUAUGUUUCUGAAUUUUUCUAUCAUAAUGGAUGGGAAAUGGAAUAGUCAUUAUUGUUUGUCUUUUAUUGCUACUAAUAAAUUUGAGCAUCCUUUCAUAUGUUUAUUGGACGUUUGAUAGCGCUCAUCUAUGAAUUGCAUAUUUAUACUCUUCCAUUGUUUAUCUUGUUUGUUAACGCAUUUUGGUUAGUUAGAGUAGACUUAAUUUUGUAUAGUUAGAGUAGACUUAAACUUCCCAAAAAAUAAAGUUCAAAAUGGUCGCUCAAAAGAUUUUGUUUUUAGUUCUUCAGUUCCUACAUAAGAACGUAGCACGUUUUCUUCUGUGAGGAACUUUAGAACUAUAAGCUGCUAAAUGCUGCUGAUAUAGUUUAGCAUUAUUUGGAAGAAUAAUGUCACUUGAUUUAUUUGCCCAAUACUCACUUAAAAGAAUCUGUAUAGUAGCUUAUCUAACUCCAUAGCUAUCAUCUCCCAUCCAGUGGAAACUGGCAGGAUUUCAAAUCUUCCGGAGUAAAGUAAAUGUGCUCAGGCUCAAUAUCAUUUGUGGGAAAUGAAUACACAAAAGUUGAAUUUAGUUUUUAAAAACUAACAAUUCUUUCAUUUAACUUAUUUUUUAUUAUUUUUUAAUUUUAAUUCUAGUAUUUUGCUUAUAUAUAUGUGUGUGGAUAUAUGAGACCUAAAAAACCAGAGAGUUUAGAUUUCCUGGGUCCCUUAGCAAAGGGCACUGUGGAACGUGUGCUCCCAAAGCAGUUUCACCAUUUAGUUUCCUUCUCUUUUUCUCUCUGUCUCUGUCUGUCUGUCUCUCUCUCUCCUUCUUUCUGCCACACAUUCAUGCAUGUACGUGUUCAUUUACUACAUACUACAAUUACUGAAUACCUACCAUGUACCAGGCACUCUUAGAAAUACAUACUCUUUUAGAAAUACGGUAGAAAUACAGCAAUGAAUAAACCGAGAAAAAUUCCUGCUUAAAUUCUAGUGGGGGAAACAGACAAUAAACAAAAUAUAUAAGUAAAAUAUAUAGCAUGUUAGAUGUUGGCAACUGCUUGGGAGAAAAAUAAACUGAGAAAGGGAAAUAGGGAGAACAAUUUUUCAAAGUGAGAUGAAUGUCUAUAUUUAGCGAUACGGAUAGCAGCAGACCAGUGUAAAAUGAAGUUAACACUAUGUAUCACAAACAGAAACAGUUUUGGUCCUAAAUCCUUUAACGCAAAGACUUUGGGUAACUCAGUGAGAUUCUCUGAGUUCUGCAUUUCUCACCUACAACACAACAGAGGUGGAGUGAGGGCGGAGAAGGUAGAAGUAAGUACUCUAACUACAGUGAAGUGAUCUAGUGUAACAUGUAAACAAAAUACUCAAAAUCAUAGUUGACUCCUUCUUUCACAGACUGUCAGUAAAUUUUCUUCGCUCUGCUGUCAACAUACAUCCAGAAUUGGACCACGGCUCCCACCUCCCCUGCUCCCACCUUGGUCUGAACCACCAUCGUGUCUUGUCUAGUUUAUCACAAUAAACACUUAAUGGCCUCCCAGCUCCUAACCUGACCCAUGUCAGCUAGAGUGAGCCUUUAAAAAGUCACUUUUUUGUUCAAACCCUGCGUUGGCUCCCAGUGCACACAGAGUAACUGCCGACGUCCUUAGAGUGGCCUUCGAGGUCCACUCUGACCUCUCCUAACAGCUCCUGCCGUCGCUCACUCCCCUCAGGCCACACUGGCAUCUUCAUUCAUUCUUGAAUGCCAAGAAUUUUCUGCCUCCUAGGUUUUUACUUUAUCUUCCCUCUCUGGAAUGCUUUCCCGAACUUAUCCACUUCAUUAACUCCCUCAAGUCUUUGCUCAGUUCUCUUCUUUUCAGUGAGCUCUGUGCUGAACACCCUAAUUAAACUUCUCAACCUUUCCCCCUUCACCGUUUCUACCCCCGACCCCCAUCUCCUGCUCUACUUUCUUCUUAUUUCCAUAGUACUCAUCACUUUUACACAUCUGAUAACAUUUACUAAAUCAAUGACUUAUGUUUGUGUGUGUUUCUGCCUGCUAGAAAUAACUUCCUAAGGGCAGCUCAUGUGCCUGCAACAGUGCCUGGUCCAGAGUGGGUGCUCAAUAAGUAUUUGUUCAGAAAUAAUUAAUGCUGUCUCAUGCACAUGCAUGCACACACACACACACAUACACUUUAUCUCCUCAUUUCCUCUCAUGCUGUCCUUGGUCUAAACCACUUUCCCUCACACUUUUGGGUUAUGUCAUACUGUUAUGGGCUGAAUGUUUGUGGCCCCCUGCCAUAUUCCUGUGUUGAAGCCCUAACAGCCAGUGUAGCUAUAUUUGAAGAUGGGACCUCUAAGGAAGUAGUUAAGGUUAAAUGAGGUUAUAAGGGUUGGGCCCUGAUCCCAUUGGAUUAGUCCUUAUAGGAAGAGACAACUCACUCUCUUUCUGUCCUUGCUCACACACUGAGGAAGGGCCAUGUGAACACACAGUGAGAAGGUGGCCAUCUACAAGCCAGAAAGAGAGUCCUCACCAGGAACUGAAU